rnacentral:rRNA from 1 species
CCUACGGUGGUCAGCAGUGAGGACUAUUGGUCAAUGGACGAGAGUCUGAACCAGCCAAGUAGCGUGCAGGAUGACUGCCCUAUGGGUUUUAAACUUCUUUUCUCUGGGAAUAAAAUGUUCCACGUGUGGGAUUUUGUCUGUACCAUAUGAAUAAGGAUCGGCUAACUCCGUGCCAGCAGCCGCGGUAAUACGGAGGAUCCGAGCUUUAUCCGGAUUUAUUGGGUUUUAAGGGAGCGUAGGUGGAUUGUUAAGUCAGUUGUGAAAGUGUGCGGAUCAACCGUAAAAGUGCAGUUGAAACUGGCAGUCGUGAGUACAGUAGAGGUGGGCGGAAUUCGUGGUGUAGCGGUGAAAUGCUUAGAUAUCACGAAGAACUCCGAUUGCGAAGGCAGCUCACUGGACUGCAACUGACACUGAGGCUCGAAAGUGUGGGUAUCAAACAGGAUUAGAUACCCUUGUAGUC